rnacentral:tRNA from 1 species
GGUGAUGGCUCAGUGGUGGAGCAUUUGCCCAGCAUGCAUGAGGCACUGGGUUCGAUCCCCAGCACCA